ensembl:misc_RNA Metazoa_SRP Metazoan signal recognition particle RNA
GCCGGGUGUGGUGGUGUACACCUGUAGUCCCAGUUACUUGGGAGGCUGAGGCAGGAGAAUUGCUUGAACCCAGGAGUUGGAGGCUGCAGUGAGCUGAGAUUGCACCACUGCACUCCAGCCUGGGCAACAGAGCAAGACUCUGUCUCAA